UACGUAGGGGGCAAGCGUUGUCCGGAAUCAUUGGGCGUAAAGCGCGUGUAGGCGGCCCGAUAAGUCCGCUGUGAAAGUCCAGGGCUCAACCCUGGGAUGCCGGUGGAUACUGUCGGGCUCGAGUCCGGAAGAGGAGUGUGGAAUUCCUGGUGUAGCGGUGAAAUGCGCAGAUAUCAGGAAGAACACCCGUGGCGAAGGCGGCUCUCUGGGACGGUACUGACGCUGAGACGCGAAGCCAGUGGGAGCGAAGCAGG
rnacentral:rRNA from 1 species